rnacentral:rRNA from 1 species
UACGGAGGGUGCAAGCGUUUAUCCGGAUUUACUGGGUUUAAAGGGUGUGUAGGCGGGCUUUUAAGUCAGUGGUGAAAUCUCCGGGCUCAACCUGGAAACUGCCAUUGAUACUAUUAGUCUUGAAUUUUGUUGAGGUAGGCGGAAUAAGUCAUGUAGCGGUGAAAUGCAUAGAUAUACUUAGAACACCAAUUGCGAAGGCAGCUUGCUAAACA